rnacentral:rRNA from 1 species
UGGGAUACCACCCUUGUAGUACUGGGACUCUAACCAUAGGCCAUGAAUCUGGUCUUGGGACACUGUCAGGUGGGCAGUUUGACUGGGGCGGUCGCCUCCCAAAAGGUAACGGAGGCGCUCAAAGGUUCUCUCAGUACGGUCGGAAAUCGUACGUAGAGUGUAAAGGCAAAAGAGAGCUUGAUUGCAAGACAUACAGGUCGAGCAAGGAUGAAAAUCGGACUUAGUGAUCCGGUGGUUCUGCGUGGAAGGGCCAUCGCUCAACGGAUAAAAGCUACCCUGGGGAUAACAGGCUUAUCUCCCCCAAGAGUCCACAUCGACGGGGAGGUUUGGCACCUCGAUGUCGGCUCAUCACAUCCUGGGGCUGUAGUAGGUCCCAAGGGUUGGGCUGUUCGCCCAUUAAAGUGGUACGCGAGCUGGGUUCAGAACGUCGUGAGACAGUUCGGUCCCUAUCCGUCGCAGGCGUAGGAAAUUUGAGAAGACCUGUCCUUAGUACGAGAGGACCGGGAUGGACGUACCUCUGGUGUACCAGUUGUCCUGCCAAGGGCAUGGCUGGGUAGCUAUGUACGGAAUGGAUAAGCGCUGAAAGCAUCUAAGCGCGAAGCCAACUUCAAGAUAAGAUUUCCCACCGCAAGGGUAAGACCCCAGAAAGACUAUCUGGUUGAUAGGUCGAAGGUGUAAGUGCAGCAAUGUAUUUAGCUUAUCGAUACUAAUAGGUCGAGGACUUGACCAA